UAUCCCUACAAAAAAUGAUUCAUCCUCAACAUUAAUAGAUCUGUAGUGUACGCAUCAGAUUUUUAGUGUUUCAUGGAAUCCUCUUUGCUAAUCCAUGACCUGUUUGGUUGAGAACGUUAGUGGCAUAUUUGAUUUGAUUUCCAUCCCUGAUACGGCAACAAGAUUUAGAGAUGAGCGAAGAAAUUAAGGAUUUUAUUGAGAAAAUUAUUUAAUUGUCAAUAUUUGAUAUAAAUAUAUAUAUGCCGUGGAAACUGGGAACCUGGAUAUAUCUUGAUUCCAUGAUUUGGUCCCUUUUCGAUUUCAUGAUGGGUGGUGUGUGAAAUGGGGAAGGGAGAAAAACAUCAAUGGCGGAAGUGAGAAAGACAGCAUCAGGGGCGUUGGGAACAUAGCAAAAGCACAGAGGAG
rnacentral:lncRNA from 1 species